UACGUAGGGGGCAAGCGUUGUCCGGAUUUAUUGGGCGUAAAGAGCGUGUAGGCGGCCAGGUAGGUCCGUUGUGAAAACUCGAGGCUCAACCUCGAGACGCCGAUGGAAACCAUCUGGCUAGAGUCCGGAAGAGGAGAGUGGAAUUCCCGGUGUAGCGGUGAAAUGCGCAGAUAUCGGGAAGAACACCCGUGGCUAAGGCGGCUCACUGGACCAUAACUGACGCUGAUGCGCGAAAGCUAGGGGAGCAAACAGG
rnacentral:rRNA from 1 species